rnacentral:rRNA from 1 species
GAUGAACGCUGGCGGCGUGCCUAACACAUGCAAGUCGAACGGAGUCCAGCCUUUAAGACCUUCGGGUCAAAGAGGGGAAGACUGAGUGGCGGACGGGUGAGUAACACGUGGGCAACCUGGCUAAUAGAGGGGGAUAACAGAGAGAAAUUUCUGCUAAUACCGCAUAAGCACACACUGCCGCAUGGCAGAGGGUGAAAAGAGAAUCGCUAUGAGAUGGACCCGCGUCUGAUUAGCCAGUUGGCAGGGUAAGAGCCUACCAAAGCGACGAUCAGUAGCCGAUCUGAGAGGAUGAACGGCCACAUUGGGACUGAGACACGGCCCAAACUCCUACGGGAGGCAGCAGUGGGGGAUAUUGCACAAUGGGGGGAACCCUGAUGCAGCGACGCCGCGUGAGUGAAGAAGUAUUUCGGUAUGUAAAGCUCUAUCAGCAGGGAAGAUAAUGACAGUACCUGAAUAAGAAGCCCCGGCUAACUACGUG